CUCCACGGAUUGAGCCACAGUUCGCGUCCGCAAUCGGGCCGUUUGUUUGAAGGCCCAAUUCUGUUUCGCUUGGAGGUUCAGACCAGGUCGCCUCUAUCGCCGAGCAGGUCUUCCAGUUAUUCUCCGUUGCGGCGCUGACCCUAUGCCCCGAGCUGUUCCUGUUGGAAAAAGAAACUGCUCUUCGUCAAGGCUGCGCAGCCGCCGUUCUCCGCCCCGGCGGUGAGCUUUUGCGGCUGGUCUGCUUCGAUAUAGAUUUCCUGUUUGGAGCUAGGCCAUUGGAGAUACUAUGAGAGAAGGAAGAGGAUCUUGUGUAGGGAACUGCGGCGUCCGGCGGCAGAUGGCUGAUCUCUCGCGACCAGUCUCUCCACGGACUGGCUUCUCCCUUCACAAUGAUGCAUCAAGCUUCCGUGGCUAUGGACGACCAGAGUGCAUGGAGGUAGCCGGGGUCAGGUCGUGGAUUCUGUGCAGGCGCAUCACUCAGUAGCGGUGAGACGCUGAUGGCUCGCGACGGGGAGGAAAUUUUCACAUCAGUCAAAGUCACCUGGGAUACCACCAAUUGAACCGGCCAUGGGCCUCCGUAUGUGGUCAUCUUGCAACAAUAGAAUGUGACAGCUGUAUGAAAAUAUUGUGAUUUUUAGGAUCACACAUAUUCAUCUUUGAGAUAAUUUCUUGUGUUCCUCAGCCUGUGAGUAGCUAAUUGUUUGUCUUCUCUCGUGAUGUAAAUGAUUUCUUAGAGAUUUUGUUGCUCAAUAAAUUUGUACAACAUCGCAGGUAAAUAGCUGAACAUUUAACUUGUCUUGAAGAAAUGAUACACAGUAUUCUCCAUCUGCGUGGCUGCGCC
rnacentral:rRNA from 1 species